rnacentral:rRNA from 1 species
AGAAUCAACGCUGGCGGCGUGCCUAACACAUGCAAGUCGCACGAGAAAGGGACUUCGGUCCUGAGUACAGUGGCGCACGGGUGAGUAACACGUGAAUUAUCUACCUCCGAGUGGGGAAUAACUGAGAGAAAUCUUAGCUAAUACCGCAUAACACUUACGAGUCAAAGCAGCAAUGCGCUUGGAGAGGAGUUCGCGGCAGAUUAGUUAGUUGGCGGGGUAAUGGCCCACCAAGACGAUGAUCUGU